rnacentral:rRNA from 1 species
AGAGCGAACGCUGGCGGCAGGCCUAACACAUGCAAGUCGAACGAACUCUUCGGAGUUAGUGGCGGACGGGUGAGUAACACGUGGGAACGUGCCUUUAGGUUCGGAAUAACUCAGGGAAACUUGUGCUAAUACCGAAUGUGCCCUUCGGGGGAAAGAUUUAUCGCCUUUAGAGCGGCCCGCGUCUGAUUAGCUUGUUGGUGGGGUAAUGGCCCACCAAGGCUACGAUCAGUAGCUGGUCUGAGAGGAUGACCAGCCACAUUGGGACUGAGACACGGCCCAAACUCCUACGGGAGGCAGCAGUGGGGAAUCUUGCGCAAUGGGCGAAAGCCUGACGCAGCCAUGCCGCGUGUAUGAUGAAGGUCUUAGGAUUGUAAAAUACUUUCACCGGUGAAGAUAAUGACUGUAGCGGAGAAGAAGCCCCGGCUAACUUCGUACCAGCAGCCGC